rnacentral:lncRNA from 1 species
CCUCAUCUGUGGCCUCUGUGUCUUCCUAGGAUCAGCAUUAACAAGGACACCAAGGACCCACAAGUGCUAUUUGCUGGCUACAAAGUCCCCCACCCCUUGGAGCACAAGAUCAUCAUCCGAGUGCAGACCACGCUGGACUACAGCCCCAGGAAGCCUUUACCAACGCCAUCACCGACCUCAUCAGUGAGCUGUCCCUGCUGGAGGAGCGCUUCCGGACGUGCCUGCUUCCCCUUCGCCUUCUGCCGUGAUUGUCAGUUUCCUGAGGCCUCCCCAGCCACGCUUCCUGUACAGCCUGCAGAACUGUGAGUCAAUUAAACCUCUUUUCUUCAUAAAUUACCCAGUUUCUCAUAGUUCUUUAUAGCAGUGUG